AUGGAGAGUUUGAUCCUGGCUCAGGAUGAACGCUGGCGGUAUGCUUAACACAUGCAAGUCGAACGAGAGUUUUUAACUCUAGUGGCGAACGGGUGCGUAAUACGUGAGAAUCUGCCCUUAGGAGAAGAAUAACUACUGGAAACGGUAGCUAAGUCUUCAUAUGCCGAGAGGUGAAAUAGUUUCAACUGCCUAAGGAUGAGCUCACGCCUGAUUAGCUUGUUGGUGAGGUAACGGCUUACCAAGGCCACGAUCAGUAGCUGGUUUGAGAGAACGAUCAGCCACACUGGGACUGAGACACGGCCCAGACUCCUCCGGGAGGCAGCAGUGAGGAAUUUUCCGCAAUGGGCGAAAGCCUGACGGAGCAAUACCGCGUGAGGGAUGAAGGAUUUUGGUCUGUAAACCUCUUUUCUCAAGAAAGAAGUUCUGACGGUACUUGAGGAAUAAGCAUCGGCUAACUCCGUGCCAGCAGCCGCGGUAAUACGGGGGAUGCAAGCGUUAUCCGGAAUCAUUGGGCGUAAAGCGCCUGUAGGUUGUUUAGUAAGUCUGUUGUUAAAGACCAGGGCUUAACCCUGGGAAAGCAAUGGAAACUACUAGACUUGAGUAUGGCAGGGGUAGAGGGAAUUUCUAGUGUAGCGGUGAAAUGCGUAGAUAUUAGAAAGAACACCGGCGGCGAAAGCGCUCUACUGGACCAUUACUGACACUCAGAGGCGAAAGCUAGGGGAGCAAAAGGGAUUAGAUACCCCUGUAGUCCUAGCCGUAAACGAUGGAUACUAGAUGUUGCGCAAUUUGUGCAGUAUCUUAGCUAACGCGUUAAGUAUCCCGCCUGGGGAGUACGCUCGCAAGGGUGAAACUCAAAGGAAUUGACGGGGGCCCGCACAAGCGGUGGAGCAUGUGGUUUAAUUCGACGCAACGCGAAGAACCUUACCUGGCCUUGACAUGCAGAGAACUUUCCAGAGAUGGAUUGGUGCCUUCGGGAACUCUGACACAGGUGCUGCAUGGCCGUCGUCAGCUCGUGUCGUGAGAUGUUGGGUUAAGUCCCGCAACGAGCGCAACCCUUGUCCUUAGUUGCCAGCAUUUAGUUGGGCACUCUAAGGAGACUGCCGGUGACAAACCGGAGGAAGGUGGGGAUGACGUCAGGUCAUCAUGGCCCUUACGGCCAGGGCUACACACGUGCUACAAUGGUGCGCACAGAGGGCUGCAAACCCGCGAGGGGGAGCUAAUCUCACAAAACGCAUCGUAGUCCGGAUCGGAGUCUGCAACUCGACUCCGUGAAGUCGGAAUCGCUAGUAAUCGUGAAUCAGAAUGUCACGGUGAAUACGUUCCCGGGCCUUGUACACACCGCCCGUCACACCAUGGGAGUGGAUUGCACCAGAAGUGGUUAGUCUAACCUUCGGGAGGACGAUCACCACGGUGUGGUUCAUGACUGGGGUGAAGUCGUAACAAGGUAGCCGUAGGGGAACCUGCGGCUGGAUCACC
rnacentral:rRNA from 12 species